AAAGGCAUGUGACAAAUUGAAGUUUUGCCUACAUUGUCUGAUUGUCUACAAUGAAGAGAAAACUAGAAAUUUCUGAGGUCUUC